GGGAAAGAGAGGGACAGGAAGGACAGCAGACCGGAAACUAGGGACAGGACAGAGAAGGAGCGCCCUCUGGCUGCAGAGGGCGUGACAGUAUUUCUAUGAUUUGUUAACUUUGAUCUGUUUUUAACUGCAGUACCAAUCAACACAUCAAAAUGUGAUUUCUGUUCCCAAAGAGAGUCUAGGCUAAUUUUGGUGGCAACUAAAAAACACAACUGACAUUGAAGUUAACUCUCUCUUUAUUUGUAUGGCAGGCUAAUUUGAUGUAUGCAGAGUUUCGCCACAAAGAAAAAGGAAAGAAAAAUCUUUUCAGGAAGAUGGUGAACUUUGGCACCAAAAUCAAGAACAGGCUUCAGUUCAAGCUAAGAAAUGAUCAAAACGUGCCAUACUAUGAGGCUCACAUGUCCUCUGAUGCCUUUGAGAGGAUGCCACAGGCAGGAUCCAGGGGACAGAGGAAGGAACAGACCUCCGAGGCUCCACGUCCGGGAGCGAAUUCUGGCUUUCUCCCUUUGAUUCCCCAAAAACCUCAGCUGACUUCAGCUGUGAUGCAGAGCGAACCAUGCCACAAUGCCAGCGCCAACCGUGGUAACUUCUAUGAAAUUCAGGGCACAUCCUCAAGUUUCAACAGCUUUGGAAAGAGGGAACUCAUGCAACUGAGGGAUAAGAACAGCAUCCCACAAACUGUAAGGAAGAAGAUCUUCGAGAAGGAAAGUGGCCCUCCAGAGAGAUAUCAAUGGAGCCAGCCUCGCAGUGCUAUGCCAGGAGUCUCUGCUCCUCAACCAAACCCCAGGGAGAAGCCACCAAAGUCAUCUGUGCUGACCAGGGUGUCUGCUGCACUGGCCCGAGUGUUCCAGAAGAAGAAAUAGAGAAACUACUGAUGAAACCUAACCACAGGACCAAUACUUAUAAUAAGAAACACAUUUCCUGGAUUUUAAAAAU
rnacentral:lncRNA from 1 species